AGCAUUUGUGUAUGUUUUUGUUGCGCUGGUGGACAAAAUCAUGAAAGACAGAUGGAAAAAUAAGACCUCUUUUGCAACCCAGGAUGCCUAUGAAUUUUGACAUAUAUGAGUCAGAGAACA
ensembl:snoRNA